UAAAGAAAAUAACUAAAUAAUAAAAGAAAACAAAAUUGAGUUAAAAACACAAAGAAAAUUUUAUCUUAUAAAGGAAGAUACCUCAAAUAUUUAGUUUUGCUCUACAAAAUGUUACCAAAAAAAAAAUUGCAAGAAUGAAAAGUUUAAUCAAAAAAAUAAAAUUUUUCCAAACAUGAUGAUCUCUGCACAUAUGUGAAUUAAAAGGAAGCAAUAAUUGUGGAUAACAAAACAUGAACAACAGAGACCUUAAAUCAUGACGAUGAAAUUGAAACAAAAAAUAAAGAAAAUCAAUUCAAAAUCAUUAAAAAUAGAAUAACAAAACUAGCCAGGAUAACUAAACCCCUAAAAUCCUAAACCCUAAACCAUAUACAUAU
rnacentral:lncRNA from 1 species